AGUCGAGCGGAGAUGAGGUGCUUGCACCUUAUCUUAGCGGCGGACGGGUGAGUAAUGCUUAGGAAUCUGCCUAUUAGUGGGGGACAACAUUCCGAAAGGAAUGCUAAUACCGCAUACGCCCUACGGGGGAAAGCAGGGGAUCUUCGGACCUUGCGCUAAUAGAUGAGCCUAAGUCGGAUUAGCUAGUUGGUGGGGUAAAGGCCUACCAAGGCGACGAUCUGUAGCGGGUCUGAGAGGAUGAUCCGCCACACUGGGACUGAGACACGGCCCAGACUCCUACGGGAGGCAGCAGUGGGGAAUAUUGGACAAUGGGCGGAAGCCUGAUCCAGCCAUGCCGCGUGUGUGAAGAAGGCCUUUUGGUUGUAAAGCACUUUAAGCGAGGAGGAGGCUACUUAGAUUAAUACUCUAGGAUAGUGGACGUUACUCGCAGAAUAAGCACCGGCUAACUCUGUGCCAGCAGCCGCGGUAAUACAGAGGGUGCGAGCGUUAAUCGGAUUUACUGGGCGUAAAGCGUGCGUAGGCGGCUGAUUAAGUCGGAUGUGAAAUCCCUGAGCUUAACUUAGGAAUUGCAUUCGAUACUGGUCAGCUAGAGUAUGGGAGAGGAUGGUAGAAUUCCAGGUGUAGCGGUGAAAUGCGUAGAGAUCUGGAGGAAUACCGAUGGCGAAGGCAGCCAUCUGGCCUAAUACUGACGCUGAGGUACGAAGCAUGGGGAGCAACAGGAUUAGAUACCCUGGUAGUCCAUGCCGUAAACGAUGUCUACUAGCCGUUGGGGCCUUUGAU
rnacentral:rRNA from 1 species